CCUUCGGGGUACACGAGCGGCGAACGGGUGAGUAACACGUGAGCAACCUGCCCCUGACUCCGGGAUAAGCGGUGGAAACGCCGUCUAAUACCGGAUACGACCCGUGGUCUCCUGGCCGCGGGUGGAAAGUUUUUUCGGUCGGGGAUGGGCUCGCGGCCUAUCAGCUUGUUGGUGGGGUAACGGCCUACCAAGGCGAUUACGGGUAGCCGGCCUGAGAGGGCGACCGGCCACACUGGGACUGAGACACGGCCCAGACUCCUGCGGGAGGCAGCAGUGGGGAAUAUUGCGCAAUGGGCGAAAGCCUGACGCAGCGACGCCGCGUGGGGGAUGACGGCCUUCGGGUUGUAAACCUCUUUUACCACCAACGCAGGCUCCCGGUUCUCCGGGGGUUGACGGUAGGUGGGGAAUAAGGACCGGCUAACUACGUGCCAGCAGCCGCGGUAAUACGUAGGGUCCGAGCGUUGUCCGGAAUUAUUGGGCGUAAAGAGCUCGUAGGCGGCGUGUCGCGUCUGCUGUGAAAGACCGGGGCUUAACUCCGGUUCUGCAGUGGAUACGGGCAUGCUAGAGGUAGGUAGGGGAGACUGGAAUUCCUGGUGUAGCGGUGAAAUGCGCAGAUAUCAGGAGGAACACCGGUGGCGAAGGCGGGUCUCUGGGCCUUA
rnacentral:rRNA from 1 species